GACAGAGGGUGCUAGCGUUGUUCGGAAUUACUGGGCGUAAAGGGCGCGUAGGCGGUUAUGUAAGUUAGACGUAAAAUACCUGGGCUUAACCUAGGAUGUGCGUUUAAUACUGCGUAACUAGAGGAUGGUAGAGGAGAAUGGAAUUCCUAGUGUAGAGGUGAAAUUCGUAGAUAUUAGGAAGAACACCAGUGGCGAAGGCGGUUCUCUGGCCCAUUACUGACGCUAAGGCGCGAAAGCGUGGGGAGCAAACAGG
rnacentral:rRNA from 1 species